GAAAAGUACAGGUCAUAAUCUUCAGUUUAAACUCAAGAUCUUAACGAAUUGUUUUCUUCAUAUUACAGCAAAAUACACCGACAUGAGACCAAAUUUUGUUGGCAUCAAUUCCGGGCACGUAACAAUAGCUUCUUUUGACGAAGUACUUAUCUGGCAUUAUAAUACACCUAAGAGCGUCGCUAAUUUACAUGGUGCAAAGACGCGCAAAGAUAAUCGUUUUCACAUAGACGAUACACCUACCGGUGUCGAAAUGGCCAAGGACUUAGUUAUCGCUACAGGCGGUAGCAGCGCGGAUAACAAAGGCUACAAGCCGCAUGCCAAUGUAGAUCCUAUCUGCACGCUAGCAAUGUCCGAAAAAAUAUUAUUGGUGGCACGCGAUUCGGGCGUUGUAAAUGAGUAUAGUGUUCCGAACGUAGCGCUACGCAAUCGUCACAAGCUCAAUUCAAGACCCUAUAAAAUGGUUAUUAAUUGCAAUUCUAGCCGUGCAGCGGUAAUCGAUGAUGCUGGUAUCAUGACUUUGCUUGACUUGGACGAUAAUCGCGAGUCACAAUUGAACUUUAAUCGCGUUGAACGUAAGGAUGUAUGGGCCAUUUGUUGGGCCAAAGAUAAUCCCUUGCUACUCGCUUUAAUGGAGAAAACGCGCAUGUAUGUGUUUCGUGGCAAUGAUCCUGAGGAACCUAUUUCUUGUUCCGGUUAUAUUUGCGCUUUCGAAGAUUUAGAAAUUACGAGUGUCCUCCUCGAUGAUAUAAUAAGUGGCGAUGAAACUCAGAAUUCCAUCAGUCAUAUUAUACAGUUGCGUGUUAAAUCAUUGCGUGAUACCGAUGAUCUGCUCCAGCACGUGGGCUUGGAAGAUGCUAAGCAAUUCAUCGAAGACAACCCACAUCCACGUCUAUGGCGUCUAUUAGCUGAGGCGGCAUUGAAGAAACUCGAAUUGGAUGUGGCCGAGAAUGCAUUCGUUCGCUGUGCAAAUUAUCCGGGAAUACAGUUGAUAAAGCGCUUGCGAAAUAUAUCGUCGGCCAUGUUGCAAAAAGCAGAAGUGGCAGCCUUCUAUGGCGAGUUCGAAGAGGCAGAGAAAUUGUACAUGGACGCAGAUAGAAGGUGGACUUAGCACGUUUUCACGUUUGAACUAUAAAAAGUUUCGGAAAGCUUGCAAUUUUCGAAAUUCUGAUGAAAUUCCAACAUUACCGUUUAACAAAAUCGACGAAUUAUAUCUAUAGUAGAGAUGGACACGGGCCCGCCGGGCCCCUGAGAUUUGGCAAUAACUCUGCGUAUAACGUUGUGCGACUGGUUUCGUGCCGUGCAGCUGUAUCGAAUGGGAUCCGGCGUCUCAGAUCAGC